AACGAACGCUGGCGGCAUGCCUAACACAUGCAAGUCGAACGAGACCUUCGGGUCUAGUGGCGCACGGGUGCGUAACGCGUGGGAACCUGCCCUUAGGUUCGGAAUAACUCCCCGAAAGGGGUGCUAAUACCGGAUAAUGUCUUCGGACCAAAGAUUUAUCGCCUUUGGAUGGGCCCGCGUUGGAUUAGCUAGUUGGUAGGGUAAAAGCCUACCAAGGCGACGAUCCCUAGCUGGUCUGAGAGGAUGAUCAGCCACACUGGGACUGAGACACGGCCCAGACUCCUACGGGAGGCAGCAGUGGGGAAUGUUGGACAAUGGGCGAAAGCCUGAUCCAGCAAUGCCGCGUGAGUGAUGAAGGCCUUAGGGUUGUAAAGCUCCUUUACCCGGGAUGAUAAUGACAGUACCGGGAGAAUAAGCUCCGGCUAACUCCGUG
rnacentral:rRNA from 1 species